UGGAAAAAAUCUACACAUGAAUGGAAAAGAUUAGAGGGAACAUUGCUGGGUCCACAAUGCUGCUUUGAAGCGAAAGUUACUAGAGAACUAACUAUAGCUGAUGUAGAAUAAUGUUUGGCAUCGUUAGGGUGGUACAAUCUGAGGAGAAGAUAGGUAAUAAACCACCACAUGCAGUUCAAUACACUAGAAAACUAAAGAUAAUUAAUGAAAGUACUGCUACAGUAGUUAACCAGUAGCCAUGGUCGAAACCAUACAAGCCAAGAACCUUGUAUUAUAAGAUGUGAAUAGAACAUCAGUGAAGCUUCUGAGGAAGAGAUGUUUCGUUCUUAACAUAAGCAGCAUUCAGCAACCUGAGCCACACUUAGCAAUAAUCAGAGCCUUCACGAUCCAUUCUGCUGAUGUAAUUUGCCUGCCAUGUUGGCUUAAUUACAUCACCUCCGCAAGAAGUGUAUUGAUUAAAUCAGUGCUGCUAGGUCAGUGAGGAUGCAGCAUAGAUGAUGUGUUGCUUACAUCAGUUACUGGUCUCCAGGAGGUGUCCCACAAUGCCCUGUUGUGACCACUCUGGUGAAUGAUUUCAACUCUAGUGCACAGCAGCCAGGUAUGCAGGAAACAGUCCCUCCUCUGUUAAAGCUCUGGGAACUUUUGAAUUCCCAUUUCCUGUUUGAUCAAUGUAGAGAGUCACCAGCCCAGCUGAUCAUGGUGAUUCUAAGUUCCAAAUGCACACAAGCCUGGAGCACCCAGGAGGUGGUGGAUCUUAGUGGUCUGUGAGGAGAAGAGUCAAUGCGUGUACAGGUCCAGUCCAGCUACAGAAAUCUACAGAAAGAUUAUGCAGGACAAGGGCUACCCUAGGAAUAUGUAGCAAUGCCAUGUGAAAAUCAAAGCCCUCUGGCAGGUAUACCACAAGACAAGAGAGGCAAACAAUCAUUCUUGUUCUGCACUGCAGAUAUGCCACUUCUACAAUAAGCUACAUGUGAUUCUCAGUGGUGACCCUGACUUGAUCCCCAAAAGCAGCAUGGUUACCUCUGUGACAGGGGCUUGGUCCUUUGCGGGUAACACUGAGGAGGAGGUCUGAGAUGAGGGGUGAAGAAGAGAAGAAUGUGAAACAGGCAAGCAGGCAGUCAGGAGCUGUUUGAAACUUAGGAGCAGUCCAGCUACUCGCAGAACAGUAUCAUGGCUGAGCAUGAGGCUAGGAAAGGGACCUUUGCUGAAGAUGUGGCCUCCACAUUGGCAGAGAAGUUGUCCCAGAUUAGAAGAAGAUGAAAGAGAAUGUGUGAUGACAUGUUUAAUAAGAUUAUGAAUGCUUUUGGGACAGCAGACAUAGAGCAGAGAGCGUGGAAGAUUUCUGUCUCUGAAAAAUGGGAUAUGACAAGCAGGAGACCAGCCCAAAAGUAUGGGUUUGGCAUACUUUUCAUACUUUUUUAGCAGGAGAUGCUGAAGAAACAGACAUGUUGAAGCUCCUGGUUGACAGAAAAAAUACCUUGAAGCUAAACUCUCUCUGCAGAACCUAAUUCCAGCAUCGUGGGUCCCCUCCCCUCUCUCAAAUGUUCCAGGAGGCAAGGAUGGAAAAGACUAUAUCCUUUCCUCUCAACAUGGGGGGAGGGUCUUAAGAGUAAAAGCUGCACCGUGUAUGAUGAUGUUUGACAGGCGCAGCCAUGGUUCCUUUAAAGACAACAUUAAUGAAUUUUUCCCUUUACAAUUUUAUUCAACUCUGUACAAGAUUAAAUUAUUCUUUCUGAUCCCGUGA